rnacentral:rRNA from 1 species
GACGUAGGUGGCGAACGUUAUCCGGAAUUAUUGGGCGUAAAGGAUGCGUAGAUGGUGUAGUAAGUUAUCGGUGGCAAAUCGAGGCUCAACCUCGUGGAAGUCGGUAAUACUGCUAUGCUAGAGGAUAGGAGAGGUUAACGGAACUCCCUGUGGAGCGGUGAAAUGCGUAGAUAUAGGGAAGAACACCAAUCAGGCGAAGGCAGUUAACUAUUCUAUUCCUGACAUUGAGGCAUGAAAGCGUGGGGAGCAAAACGG